rnacentral:lncRNA from 1 species
GUGUUUGCAACACCAGGGUUGUGGGUUCGUUUCCCACGGGGGGCCAGCACAGAAAAAAAAUGUAUGAAAUUGUAUGAAAUGUAUGCAUUCACUACUGUAAGUCGCUCUGGAUAAGAGCGUCUGCUAAAUGACUAAAAUGUAAAUGUAUAUCUGAAGUGUUUCUGUUUGUGUGUGUAGGACAUACAGAAAAAAAACAGACACUACAGAAACAUGUAUUGGGUGAAGCGGCAUUUAAUAGAAGCAGCUUUGCUUGGUCCAAACGGUCAGAAUGUCUGGCUGGCAGGUUUCUCUUUCAGAUCAAAACAUAACUUUUACAUGUAGAAGUCUACUGCUACAGAUGUCAUCUGACACUGAGACACUUGCUCUGAACGAUAGCACCAAGGAUUAAUGAUGUAUUACAUAGAGAGAAUUCCCUGCUGACAACGCACACAUCUGUUACCUGGAACGUUGAAGGACUGAAUAAUCCAGCCAAAACAAAAGUUGACGGUUGGUAGACUUCAAGGGUUAAUGACGCAGAUACAGAAAGGAGUGUGUGUAUGUGUGUGUGUGUGUGUGUGGUUGUCUAGAAGGAGGAUGUUUAAUGUUUAACCUUGAUGUUUAAAACAUAUGGAGGGAUGUCAUAUCCUGUUCUGUCUCUGAUCUACAAAACAACAUAAAAUAAGUUUGUUUAAAAAAAAAACACACACAAAAAAAAAAACAUUAUUUUACAGUAACCUUCCUGUUUAAUGCUGUGUUCAUGUGCUGCUUGGAAUUAUGGAACUGAGAACAGUCUGACUGGACGAUGUUACAACUUAGAAGCUCAUAACAAACUGUUUUAGACAUCUGAAACUAGUUUCUGUUACGGGAGUUUUUUCCCGGUUGGAAAGGUCCUGAUAAUUCAGAGAGCACAUGAACACAGUGUAACACAAUCUCUUACACAGUCUAACACGCAAUCGUCUUCUGUCAUUAUCGGACGUAAAAACACAACUAAAACACAGUGAUUGUAAAUGAGCGACGAAGUACGAAUGGACAUUCAUAAUGAGGGAGACUAAACUCUAAAGCAUGUGGUCCCUGCCCC